ACGCUCGACACCUACGGGAAGCAGCAGUGAGGAAUAUUGGUCAAUGGGCGCUAGCCUGAACCAGCCAAGUAGCGUGAAGGAUGAAGGCUCUAUGGGUCGUAAACUUCUUUUAUAUAAGAAUAAAGUGCAGUAUGUAUACUGUUUUGUAUGUAUUAUAUGAAUAAGGAUCGGCUAACUCCGUGCUAGCAGCCGCGGUAAUCUGAGCGGGCUGGCAAGGC
rnacentral:rRNA from 1 species